rnacentral:lncRNA from 1 species
GCGAAUCGCAACAAUUUCCAAUAUAAAAUCACAAAUCAUAAAAUUAUUGGGGCGUGAAUGGAGCGUUUCAUGGCUGUCAUUUUAUUGAUAGUAUUUCUUCAAAUGUUCGGCAUUCCAGGGAUGUAAAAGUGCUUUUCCGUUUGGGUCUUCUAACCAGUAAGUCCCUGGUCUGGAGACCUUGACAACUUUGUAAGGACCUAUCCACGUUGGGCCGAGCUUCCCUGCAUUUGGUUCUUUAGUUGACAGGGUUACCCUCCGCAAGACCAGG